GGAUGUGAGGACGAUCUGGCUGCAACAUCUGUCACCCCAUUGAUCGCCAGGGUUGAUUCGGCUAAUCUGGCUGGCUAGGCAGGUGUCCCCUUCCUCCCUCACCGCUCCAUGUGCGUCCCUCCUGAAGCUGCGCGCUUGGUCGAAGAGGACGAUCAUCCCCGAUAGAGGAGGACCGUUCUUUCGUCAAGGGUAUACGAGUAGCUGCGCUCCCCUGCUAGAACCUCUAAACAAGCUCUCAUGCAGGGAGCCCAACGUGGGACUCCAUCCCGGGUCUCCAGGAUCACACCCCGGGCCAAAUGCGGCGCUG
rnacentral:snRNA from 1 species